rnacentral:misc_RNA from 1 species
UACAAAGAUCGAUGCUUGCCAAGCCAAUCCACAGAGACGGUCAACAGUAAGAUUGGAAGUCUGUGAAGUGUCGGCCGACUUCUCUGGAGCCUGUGAGAUGAAGAAGAGUUUCGGGUUUGAAGAAGAGUUCAAUAUCUAGCUACUUAUUCUCUAAAUCGACCCAAAGAAAUGAAUAUUCAUAGAUAACAAGUCAACCCAACUUAAUUUGAGACUUAACCAGUAGAUUGGGUUGGGUUGGUUUAGGUUGGUCAGGUUACUUCAAAUAGCGAACAGCCCUUUUUUAUAGAGAGAAAAUUAUUCAAAUCUGGGAGUUAGUAAAAAGUAUAUCUUCCAGCUUUUUUAGAUUGUGAAGAGACUCUAGUUAACUUCUAUAGGUCUAAUUGGUAGUGGUUAGUGUUCCAUAGCUCUAAUAUUGUUCUUGGUUCCAUAAUCAAG